GGAGAGAUGGCUCAGCAGUUAAGAGCACUGGCUGCUCUUCCAGAGGUCCUGAGUUCAAUUUUCAGUAACUCCG
rnacentral:tRNA from 1 species